rnacentral:tRNA from 1 species
UCCCUGGUGGCUCAGACAGUAAAGCAUCUGCCUAAAAUGCGGGAAACCCAGGUUCAAUCCCUGGGUUGGGAA